AUUGAACGCUGGCGGCAUGCCUUACACAUGCAAGUCGAACGGCAGCACGGGAGCAAUCCUGGUGGCGAGUGGCGAACGGGUGAGUAAUGCAUCGGAACGUGCCCAAUCGUGGGGGAUAACUGCUCGAAAGAGCAGCUAAUACCGCAUAAGACCUGAGGGUGAAAGCGGGGGAUCGCAAGACCUCGCGCGAAUGGAGCGGCCGAUGUCAGAUUAGCUAGUUGGUGGGGUAAAGGCCUACCAAGGCAACGAUCUGUAGUUGGUCUGAGAGGACGACCAGCCACACUGGGACUGAGACACGGCCCAGACUCCUACGGGAGGCAGCAGUGGGGAAUUUUGGACAAUGGGGGCAACCCUGAUCCAGCAAUGCCGCGUGCAGGAAGAAGGC
rnacentral:rRNA from 1 species